GAACAUUCAAAAGCAUUCCAGUGGCAGCUCGCACGUCAUCCAUCAGUUCCUCUGAGAACAGGCAGAGCUCUUUACUGUGAUGUCUCGCUGGUCCCCUGAUAACCUCUGAUCUUGCCUGGGAUGCAUCCGCCGCAGCAAUCACAACCCUCCACGGUUUUCCAAGUUAACAGCUUAAUGGAAGGCCGUGUGGUAAAGUGAAAAGAGCAGUGGACUUGGUAUCAGGAGUAAGAAGAACCAACAAUGAUGAAUACAUCGAUGACGUGCCAGGCCCUGAAACAAUAUUGCCCAUCAUUGCUGCUUCCCGGCGGUUUACUGCUGUUACACAGAAAGUGUCAUGAUGCUGGGGACCAGUGAAGACGUUUCAGAUGUCCCAGACUGCUGCAAGAGUGAAAGUUGGAGGGGACUGUGGAAGAUCUUGAGGCACAGAUGAGCAACACUCCAUCUGGUCAGUCAUCAAAAAAGUUCUGAAGAUCACUGAGUGAAAAAUGCAUUCACUGGACAUGGAUAGGAAAAACAGCCAGUCUACUUAGUCCCUGGGCACAAGAAAUGGACAGUAUUGGGAGGCUGGAGCACAGCAUAAGGAAAUAAUUAGAAAUGCAGUCAAAGAAUUAUGUACCAGGAUGUUCACAGAAGCAUUAUUUAAAAUUGAAGAACAAGCCAAAAAAAAAAAAUUGGACUCAAACCAAAUAGCCCAAAAUAGGGGAUGGUUAAAUAAGAUGGACUAUUAAACAGACAUUAAAUAUCAUGUUUUCAGAAUAUAUUUAAUUAAAUGGAAAAAAACACAUAUGAUACACUCUAAAGUUUAAAAGCAUGCACAGCUGUAUAUACAAUAUGUUUUAAAUCAGUGUCAAAAACGUUACGUUAAAAAUGAGCUGAAACUUGUGAAAAAUACUUAGGAUGAUAUAAAGUACUUUUCCAUCAUAUUGUAAGCAAUGAGGAAAGAAAAGGCAGGAAGAGAAGGACCCUAUUGCUUGCAGAAGAGAGCAAUUUCCUAACAGACAAUAGAAUUUAUUUUUCUCCAGCAAGGAAAAUUAUCUUCAAGUUCUAAAAAUAAAAAAUACAAUAAAAAUAUUAAAAUUUCAACCCAAAAUGGUGAGGAAG
rnacentral:lncRNA from 1 species